rnacentral:rRNA from 1 species
GACGAACGCUGGCGGCGUGCUUAACACAUGCAAGUCGAACGGAAAGGCCCUGCUUUUGUGGGGUGCUCGAGUGGCGAACGGGUGAGUAACACGUGAGUAACCUGCCCUUGACUUUGGGAUAACUUCAGGAAACUGGGGCUAAUACCGGAUAGGAGCUCCUGCUGCAUGGUGGGGGUUGGAAAGUUUCGGCGGUUGGGGAUGGACUCGCGGCUUAUCAGCUUGUUGGUGGGGUAGUGGCUUACCAGGGCUUUGACGGGUAGCCGGCCUGAGAGGGUGACCGGCCACAUUGGGACUGAGAUACGGCCCAGACUCCUACGGGAGGCAGCAGUGGGGAAUAUUGCACAAUGGGCGGAAGCCUGAUGCAGCAACGCCGCGUGCGGGAUGACGGCCUUCGGGUUGUAAACCGCUUUCGCCUGUGACGAAGCGUGAGUGACGGUAAUGGGUAAGGAAGCACCGGCUAACUACGUG